rnacentral:rRNA from 1 species
GACGAACGCUGGCGGCGUGCCUAAUACAUGCAAGUAGAACGCUGAAGAGAGGAGCUUGCUCUUCUUGGAUGAGUUGCGAACGGGUGAGUAACGCGUAGGUAACCUGCCUUGUAGCGGGGGAUAACUAUUGGAAACGAUAGCUAAUACCGCAUAACAAUGGAUGACACAUGUCAUUUAUUUGAAAGGGGCAAUUGCUCCACUACAAGAUGGACCUGCGUUGUAUUAGCUAGUAGGUGAGGUAACGGCUCACCUAGGCGACGAUACAUAGCCGACCUGAGAGGGUGAUCGGCCACACUGGGACUGAGACACGGCCCAGACUCCUACGGGAGGCAGCAGUAGGGAAUCUUCGGCAAUGGGGGCAACCCUGACCGAGCAACGCCGCGUGAGAGAAGAAGGUUUUCGGAUCGUAAAGCUCUGUUGUAAGUCAAGAACGAGUGUGAGAGUGGAAAGUUCACACUGUGACGGUAGCUUACCAGAAAGGGACGGCUAACUACGUG